rnacentral:lncRNA from 1 species
UCCUGGGUGUCCAGCCCACCUUGAAUCAUGGCACAAACAGUCUACUACCCCUGGUGUAUAACAAACCAUCCUGCAUCCAAAAACUGCCUAGUCUUACCUUGCUGGGCAUACUCCAUAAGGGCCUUAGCUGUAGGAUCAUGGGCAAGUGUCACGGGCUCUAACCUUAGACUCAGAAUCCGUAUGGCCUUAGGCUUGAAAUCUCCUCUUUUAUGCCUAAGUCAGCCUAAAACACAAG